rnacentral:tRNA from 1 species
GAGGAAGUAGCUCAGUUGAUAGAGCAUUAGCCUUCCAAGCUGAGGGUCGCGGGUUUGAGCCCCGUCUUCCGCU